UAUGGCAGAAUAGUGCAAUGGAUUUAAACCCCGUAUAUAAAAUAAAAAAUUUUUAUUAAAA
rnacentral:tRNA from 1 species